GAUGAACGCUAGCUACAGGCUUAACACAUGCAAGUCGAGGGGCAGCAUGAACUUAGCUUGCUAAGUUUGAUGGCGACCGGCGCACGGGUGAGUAACACGUAUCCAACCUUCCGUUUACUCAGGGAUAGCCUUUCGAAAGAAAGAUUAAUACCUGAUAGUAUGGUGAGAUUGCAUGAUAACACCAUUAAAGAUUUAUUGGUAAACGAUGGGGAUGCGUUCCAUUAGGUAGUAGGCGGGGUAACGGCCCACCUAGCCUGCGAUGGAUAGGGGUUCUGAGAGGAAGGUCCCCCACAUUGGAACUGAGACACGGUCCAAACUCCUACGGGAGGCAGCAGUGAGGAAUAUUGGUCAAUGGGCGAGAGCCUGAACCAGCCAAGUAGCGUGAAGGAUGAAGGUCCUACGGAUUGUAAACUUCUUUUAUACGGGAAUAAAGUUUCCUACGUGUAGGAUUUUGUAUGUACCGUAUGAAUAAGCAUCGGCUAACUCCGUG
rnacentral:rRNA from 1 species